rnacentral:rRNA from 1 species
UACGGAGGGGGCUAGCGUUGUUCGGAAUUACUGGGCGUAAAGCGCGCGUAGGCGGCUUUGUAAGUUAGAGGUGAAAGCCCGGAGCUCAACUCCGGAAUUGCCUUUAAGACUGCAUCGCUAGAAUCAUGGAGAGGUGAGUGGAAUUCCGAGUGUAGAGGUGAAAUUCGUAGAUAUUCGGAAGAACACCAGUGGCGAAGGCGAACUCACUGGACAUGUAUUGACGCUGAGGUGCGAAAGCGUGGGAGCGAACAGG